GAGGGUAUAGCUUAAGUGGUUAGAGUAUUGGAUUGUGACUUCAAAGAUACCGGUUCGAGUCCGGUUACCUUCC
rfam:Dictyostelium discoideum mitochondrial DNA, complete genome.